GUGGGCGGGCCUGGCGUCUCCGGGCGCUGCGAGCCCCCCGCCGGGUGGCCGAGGUAAGGAGGGGAAGAUGGCGGAGUGAGAGGAAGAGGCGGAGAGGCUGGGGCCGGCCGCGGCCCCGCGGCCUCGGCCGCGCUCAGGCUCACUGAAGAGAAUGUGGAUCGAUCAAAAAUAAUGCUCUCCAGGUCUGUUUUUCCCAUCUUCAUAACAAGAAUAAGACUUUUCCAACAGUGUGAGCAUGGACGGUCAAGCUCCUGAUCAACUGAAACAUUUGAGUGCCUCAGAGAAAGUGAUGGUGACAUGUGCUGUAUUUCCAUUUUCAUGAUCUACUCGCUACUUCUAACAUAGGAAUUGAAAAUUUUCACUGGAAGAUUAUUUCUGAACUUGAUCAACUAAAGGGUUAAGAUCCUCUCCUGACAUUUAAGAAGAAGGUGGUCCUGUUGCUUGCCCAUAGGCUCUGAGAUGCAGAUGUUUCUCUUUUAGCAAGCAAAAACCUGUCCUUCACUUCCAUGGAGCUGAACGAACAAAGAUCUCUCCACUUCCUGAUUCAACUAUCUCACCCAACAUUUGAUUCACCAGAUGAUUUCUCCCACAGAAGUACCCCACUGUUUUAUCAAAACUCAAAAUCAGAGUAACAGAAAUCAGCAUUUGUUUCCCUGAAGAAAUAUCUUCUGUGCCAGCUCUUCAUCCAGCUUUCUGCAUUCUGUUUUAUAAUGAGAAAUACUUUGUAAUCAGAUGCAAGUGGAAGCUGGUGUUCUUCUUGACAUCUCCUUCUUCAUUUUAGGAAGGUUAAGUACUUCACUGUGUCAUAUUGGAAUUCCUAGCAGAUAAAGUGUCUGCAUGCAUUGCUAUGUCAGACUGUCUUGACAUGUACGAAAAGUUGCAGCAGGAAAACCAGAACCUAUUGUCUGCUCUAACAUGAGGAAGAAACUUACCAAACAAUUGGGGACAUCCCAUACAGGUAUUUUCUAGUCCAGGACGCAGGCUUGACUUUGUAGAUAGAUCUCUUGAUGUCGAUUCACAUAAAGCAGCUAAUGUGCAAGAACAAAUGCAGAAUCACCUUGUCUGUAGCGUGUGAAUGCAUCAUCCCAGUCUGGGAUCAAAAUGUAUAUUUGCAUGUGUAAACCUAUGUAAGUGCUGGAUAUGAAGAGCUUUCACCAGGAGAAAUUACUCUGCACCAUUUCAUUUUUAGCAAAGAAGAAUGAAGCUUUAAAGGCCUCUGGGGUAACAGGAUAAUGAUUAGGUUUACAUUAAUUCAUUCCCUCCCCUGGCUUCUUAUGAAUCCUUAGCAGCAGAAAGAACAAAAACAUUCUACGGUAGAAGAGAUGGGGCAGAACUUCUUUCUUUAUUAAGGAAAUUAACUUCUGGUGGGAUGGAAGAGACCAGAGGUGUGAAGUUGCAGUUUAUCCACUCAGCUUCCUUGGCACAGUUUCAGCUUUUCAUACUGCUGAUGGAAUCAACUUUUUGAUUCUUCUGUGACUGAGAACUGAGAUGACCUGUAUAUUUCCAUCAUCUGGGUAGAAAUAGGCCCAAGAGAAUUGACUGUUAGCCACGUAAGAGGGUUAGUUGAAAGAGAGCAGAAAUACUUAACAAUGGGUCUUUUUCUGGUUCCUCUUAUUCCUUCCCAAACUAAGGCGCACUCUGUUGUUCUUAUGUUUACACAAGGUUCUUUGUCUCCAUCAUUUGUGAUUAUAUAGGAUGUUUUCUGUUAUUCUGAGAUGGGAGCAUGGAUUGUUUACAUGAUCCCUGCUAUGGUAUUGUAUAUGGAAAGUGAGAUUUCUUGGCAAAAAAACCCAGAACUGGGAUGUGUAUGCUGUUCCACUUCAAAUCUGGAGCUCUUCUUAGUGCACCUUAUUCCAAGCUUGUGAUUUAGAAAAUGUGACUUACUAGCUUAAAAUAAUAUUUUCAGAUCUGGAUCAAAUAAAGGUAUAUAGUUUCUGUUAAUAGGUUUUGGGAGAUAAUAGCAUGGUUGGGGGGGGGUGGUUUAGAUUUUUUUGUUCUGUUUUUCUUUUUAGAAAACUGCUGGAGAGAGCCAAACAGCCUGAAAAUGGCUGAAAAAGCCAACAAGUGAAAUCCUUCUUAAAUCUUAAUCAUAGAUUGCAAGGGCAGCAUUCUGAUACUUAAAAUGUGGUGACGUUUUACGGGACCAAGUUCCAUAGCAGAGUAAGGACAAGUGUUGAUGCCGAUCCUAAUCUUCAAAGUAGAAUUGAGUUAGGUUUUUGUUUAGACUUGCAUUGUAACAAUAAGAUUUAAUGACAGCUUUACCCAUUUUUUGUUUCCAUGAAGAAAAGAUCAGACGUGUAAGCUAAAGAGUGGUGGGCAAGACACUGCGUAUCAGAAUAAUGCCAACUGUAAUGAGCAGAGAGGUGCACUAAAAUUUUGUGUAACAUUGUGAUGAGCUCUGUUUCUUUUAUUAGUUUAGAUAAGAGUUGCAUUGAUCUUGAUGAGGCAACCACCAGCUUGCCCUGACUUCUUUUAAGACCAUAGGAUUUCUUUGCUGAAUACAGUCUAAAUUUUCUGGCAUUGGAGGCAACUAGAAAAGCGCACUUCCUUUUAGGGCCUCCUUAUGUCGAAACCAAUGGGAUUUCAUGUAGAUGUCUGUAGAAGCAGGAUCCAUCUCUAAGCGAUGGAGAAUACUGUCAAUGUCAUAGGAUUAUAAGUGGUUGAGAGGUAUCUGGUAUAAGAAACCUCUGAUUUUAAAUCUAGGAAUUUCCUUUUCUUCCUUCUGCCCAUACUUAUCCUUCUGAUGUUAGAGCUAGCAGUUGUUUCUUGCAUAGUUUGAGGACAAAAUGCUUGGGGGAAGGUAUUUUUGUUUCCUGUGGACGUGUACAAAAACUAAGAAUUUGUCUGACUAGAGGGUAGACACUUCAAGCUCUUUGAUAUCUUUUUCUGUAGGAAUAACCCUCAACAUUUUGUAACCCUACAUUGUAACAAAAAAAAAAAAAGAAUUGCUGAUUUUUCCUGACUCCUGUCCAUGACAAUGUAACAACAUUAGUUUUCAAGUUUAAUUUUAGAACAUAAUAUUUUUAGCAGGGCUAAGGAUCUGUGGCUUUCACAGAAGUAAUACUCCAACAGUGCACGCUCAGAAGACCCCCAUUACCGUACCUUUCCGGCCAGCACCUUUAUAAAACUGCUGUGUUAGGAAAUGCUGCCUCAGCCUACUUACUUUUCUUGCUCUACUUUUUCUCUAUGUUGGUUGGAAAUCUUCCCAUGUGAAAGAUUACAAAAACAAGGGGCAUGUGCAAUAGAUCAUAUAUAUAUAUAUACACAUAUAUAUAUUUUAAUACUUGUGGACAAAAUGAUGUUACAAGUUGUUUGAAAACAACAAAAUCACCAAUGUCUUCCAUUUUGAGAUGUGUAUAGUUCCAUAAGCAUUAGUGCUUUGUAGCAAACUGUAGUGCCAUGUUAGGAUCAGUGCAUGAGCCUAGUAGUAUUUUUACAAUUUCAGAGUGACAAAUUUAUUAAUAAACAGUGAUGAUAAUGUAAUUAACAGUAGAAAGGAUACAAUAGAAAUGUCACAAACAUGGUCUAAACAUGCAGUAUCCUCCCUUUGACAAUGGCAAUGCUAUCUUUAGAAAUUGAAUGCGUUCACUUAAUGGGCUUCAUAGAAUCAUAGUUGACUUUUGGGUUUUAAUCUAUCUGUCCAGCUACAAUAGUAAGCUAGUGUGUGUAAGCAUCCAGAAUUCUCAUCUCUAUCAGUGGGAUUCUUUUCUUUUUAGUCUUCGUUGGAGGUGUUUUCUUCCAUGUGCAGCAUUUUCAAUUUUAUUAUUACCCAUCCUGUGUUAUACUCAGAAAAGUAUGAAUACGCUAAGGAGUUCAUGUGCAUUUUGUACACAUCUCUGUUACCUUAAGAUCGUUUACAAAAUCUGUUAAUUAAUGUUUUUCUUGUUGUUCAGAUCUGACUAUAUGAUUUUUAUAACUAGUUAAACAUUAUCCUUAUUAUAUAAUAAGUUAAUGGUUGCAAAAUGCUAUCUGCCAACUAUGCGUAGAAGAAUUUUAUCCAUUAUUGCAGGAACAGGGAACCUUUUUUCGCUGAAGUCCUAUUGAAUCUUUUAACACCUCUAGUGGAUCCUGCAUUUACAUACAUCUUAAUGUUAAUAAUAAUAAUGAUAAUAAGAGAGAAUAUAAUAAGGUCAAGGGCUGUUGAAAAAUAAAUAUUGCAGACUGUAUCUGUGCAGCAGGCUAUCUCUAGCCUAUGGAUCAGAGAUUCCCCACCCCUGUAUUAUUGAGAAUUGAAUAUUCUGUAUUUUAGGUAACUUCUAGUAUUGCUUUCCAGCUCUAAGCUCAAUUUUAAUAAUUUCUGUCUCUCCCUCUGCUUUUUUUCUGAAGGAGAGUUUAGACCAGGGGAAGUCCAAAUUAUUUAGCACUCAAUGGGCAGCUUGGAGUGGUCGAGUAAGAGACUGGUAUGAUUCCUGAGAUGUGCAGUGCUCUGUGGAUGGCAUCCUCUGAUUUCCUAGGAGAAAGUCUUUUAUUUGGUGCCAGUGUUGCUCUUCACCCAUUUCUCUCUUCUACAAGAACAAAAUUCUCUUUUAACUUAGAGAGGAUACUGCAUCUUUUUUUCCUGAGACCUGCCUGUAAAUGGCCGAUAGGGGGAGGGAGGGAAUGGGUAGCUUGGUUUUGUAAUUUUGAUACGCUAUAUCUCUAAUUAAUCAAGAAGCAUGUACUUUGGUGCAAAACCAGUAAUCCAUGCAGAGUUAAUGUUUGUAACAGGGAAACAAACAAACAACCCUCUGCAUCGAAUAAAUUUCCAAGAAAAUUGGACAGAUGGGCCAUUUAUAGCAGAGCUCUGGGGGACCUGUGCUGAGAGUUAGGUUCAAUUCUAAAUGGAAGUAGCUGUACCAUUGAAUAAAGUAGUUUAGUGCUUGGGAGAAUCAAUUGAAAAAUACCUCUGAAACUGGAAUGCAAAAUAGCACAGUAUGUAGGGGGAAGAAUCCCUGAUGCAAACAAAGCCAUAAGAUGAUUUAAUAAGAAAAUAGAACUUUAGUAGCAAUAACUGUUUUGCAUGUGAUAGUAAAUAACUUGCUUUAGCAAGACUGUACAGUAGAGUAAGUGGGUAAUAACCAAAUAAGUUUGUGGCGCUCUGUGCUGCAAGGAGUUGGCGUAAAAAGUCUUUUCCAGAGAAGAUGGGUGAAUUCCUCUUAUGUUCCUCUCAUUGGAGGGAGUUUGGCACUUGAAUACUUAGUUAAUGAACCUGAUACAAAAAAAAAUUAAAAAAUUUAGCUUUGUCACAUGUCUGAAGCACUGUUGGUGAGUGCUGGGGGAAGGGCAGACAGUUCUUUUUGAUAGUUGAAGUUUCCCUAUAUUUUUUCUUCUUUUGUAGUCUAGCAUUUGCUCUGUUUCUCUGAGAAGAAACUAAACCUUUCCAAAUACUGGACUGUGAAGAGAACCUGAUUCUGAAGUUAGAAGCUUUUAUUGUGGGAAGUACUUUUUGUUUUCUUUGUUUGAAAAGACCAAUCUGAGAUGGUCUUUAAAUAAAAAAAUCAGAGAACACUUGACACUCAAAACAUUUGUACAUCCCAAGCACAAGCAUAGAAUUCUAAAAAUGUUACUUUACAGCAAAAAAUAAUUUUAGCCUUGCUAAAGACUCUGUUUCAGACAUAAUUGAUUUCUGUUGAUGCCUGAAAUUUUGCAGAGGCAAGUACUGUGAAGCCUCUGGUAACACAAAGGGUUAUCGAUCUACAGCUGUAGCCUGUGCACCCAGCAAAGUAUUUGCUAUCAAAGGGUUACAUAAAAGAGCCGCAGGAGUUCUAAAAUGUCCAUAGUUGACAGUGUUUUCAGUGCAGAUACGUAGUUCAUAGAGACAGUAUGGCCCAACAAAUAAAUACAGUAUUCUGUACAGAAUUAUUACAUCAGAGCUUUAGAUCAGUCUGGCUGGAUUUCUUCUAGAAAGCUGAAGUAAUUUGGACUGUAACUUACAGCUGAAGGGAGGCUUCUAAUGUUCUGAAAUUACGGAGGUGAAGCCCUUUGGCUCUUCAUAAGUUGUUGAUGGGACUGUGAGGGCUGUGAGCAUUUGUACAGUGUAAAGUAACAAAGAUAAGCAUGAGGAUGUCUAAAUUAAGUGUUGGCUAAUCUGUACUAUGUGUAUGAAAAGCUAAUUGAUCUGGAAGGUUGUAAUCAGCUUAAAUUACAGCUAUUGAAUUAUUGAUAAAAUUGGAAGCUGGCCAUAGGGGACCUUAAUUUGAUUGUUAUCUGAUUACAUUAGAGAAAUUAUAAAUUUAUUCUGGUCUGUGGUCAGCAAGUACAUUUACAUCAUAAUGAAAUAAUAAUGAAAACACAGCCAUGUUCAUACUUCAGAAAUAUGAGCUUUGUGGCUGAUGAGAAUCCUUCAAGGUUUUAUUAUAGUGAUCUGUAUUCUAUGGGCUACCAGACCAGAAAUUACUAUUCACAGCAACGAAAGGAAUCUGUUUGCCUUUUGCUCCAACCCCCUUGAUUUCACUGCUUCUAAAACUAAGUGGAAGUGUUAGAUGCUAUCACAUUUUGGUGUGGGAUAUCAAAGGUGUAGUGACCAGUACUGACGUGCCUCCUUUGGCAGCACUAAACCUAGAUAAUACAAAUAUAUGCUGUUUCCAUACCCAGUAGUGCUGCUGCAGAAGGUCUAGCCCAUAUUUUUGUUUGGAAUUGCACCUUCAGGAACUGCACCUUCUGCAAGAGAGGAUAAUUGUCAAAUUUAGGACAAAAAAAGAGUCUUGCAAAGAUUCCUUGGUAGUGAGUGGGAAGAAAUUGUAUUGAGCUUCAGGACAUUGACACUUUACACGGGGAUUACAUUGUCAAGAGCUGGCAGUGUGGGUUUUUUUGGACAGAGUAGGGAAAAAUAUGGAAGAGAAGAGCAGUUUUUGAUGGAUAAAUGAUCUUAGAAAUAACUGCUUCCUGCAUCCCUAGGAAACUGUCUGGUCUUCCUCCAAAACUAAUAAUCCUGCUUGCUGUUCAGGUACAGAGCUGCAUAAUGGCAGUUCAAGUUAGAUUCUAUUGGAUUUCUUUUACUGAACGAUUCAGCAUUUUGCCCCUGUAGCGCUUUGACUGGCACACAAAAGCUAGCAGUUGAACCAGGGUGUCUCAUUUAACAGUGCAGAACACUAACCAUGGAUUCUGAUGUCUAUUCCCUUUCAGUCUGCUCUACACUUUCUCCUGAGCUUUAGAGAAAGUGUCUGGUGUUCAUGAUGCAAGCAGAGCGUGUUUCUGUCUCUCAGCCUAUGUACCAGGUUAUAAUACAGACAGAUUCCCUCAGGCUUUACAACAGCUAGGGUUAAAGAUAAAAGGUAACUUACUGUUAUAACGUACUGUUUAGUGUAUCCUAUGUAAAUCCUGUCUGCUUCUCUCCACUUCCCCUGCCAGAUGUUUGCAGGUCAAAUGAAAGGUGGCUAGUUUGUAAUGCCUUAGGCAUGAAGAACUGCAUGGAGAAACUGAAGGAAAGCGGCACAGGCCCACAAACCAAAUCUUAGAGCUAGUAUUCUAAUUAUGCAUGAUUCAAAAUGUCUAGUGUAAUGUAGUUAUUACCAGUAAAUUGAGAUAUGCAUUUAUACAUAAUGAAGCAAUAGGAAUUAAUAUAUCAAUAGCUUGAACUUCCUGCUUUGAUUCUCAAAUUUUCUUUUUUAGAGAAUGUGCUGCCUCUGUAGAGAAAGGGGCAGAAUGUAUAGAUAGGGACAGUAGCAUGGCACCAAAACUGUAAAUCAGGAACCAGGAUCAGCAGAACUCGCCUUUAUAACCUCUUCUCUGGUUCAUAUUAUUGCCCUGAGCAUGUAAAAAAGCAGGGCAUGAACUAAGCAUGUUUGGGGGCGAGAUGAGGUUUCUCACCUGCUGCAGCUGUAGCAAGGAAAAGGGUGCAGAGUUUCUUACAAGGUGCAAGGGGGAGCAACUGGUGGAAAACAAACAAAACAACACACAAAAAACCAAGUAAUGGAAACCACAGACUCAAAUUGAGUGUAUUUGCCAGACAGUAGGUAAUAAGCUUGGGUGUGGUGAGAGAAAUUAUUUGGAGAAGACUGAAAUUAAUAAGCACAGUACAUAUAUUUCAGGUGUUGAAUAGCUUUUUAAUAAACAGUAUUUUCAGGUAACUCUCUAGCCACAUAGGCAGCUGUACUGAAGCAUACUGGUAUCAGCCAGCAAUAAUGGCACCUGCAGGAACGAACCUGAAAAUACUGGAAAUCUUGUAUAUUUUUUAAGUUCUUUAAAGAGAUUUUUAAAAACAGAAAAUGAGAUUUGAUCACUGAAGGUCUUUAUCUUCUGCAACACAGGUUGCAAUAGUCUUCUUUUCUUUAUUUCAAUUAUCAAAUAAAAGGGAAUUUGGGUGCCAUCUUUCUGUAAACUUUCAGUGUGUUCUCUGUAAUAUUUCCCAAGUCUUUUAGCAGAUAACGCAAUGAAUUUCUGCUGGCAGUUUGAAAAUAACAUAGAACAUGUGGCAUAGCCUACAUCACUAGUACUUUUCUAAGUUUAAACUUGUAUUUCAAACAUGUAGAAUACUAGCUUGUUACUGCAGGAUUCCAUACUUCUAGUUUAGCUUAAUUUUGUAGGUGGGCUUAACUUGUGCAGAACACUUUUCCAUGUACGGAGGCUCCAUCCUCUUUCUUAAAUAGAAAAAAGUGUCUUGGAGGAAGAAAUUGUGUGCGUCAAGUUAACUCCUGUUCACACUUCAUAGUGAACCAUCCAUAAAGCACCAUGAUUUGGGUUUAUAAUGGGGGUUGCAUUUUUUUCUCAUGAAUGCUCUUUCUAGAUAGAGAAGAAUUGCCAAAUGAAGAUAGGAAUAUUAUAAGAAAAGAUAACUAUUUUAUGGUAUCAGAAGUUGGACUAAAUGAAAUCCUUUGAGCCAACUUCUUCAAGCAAAAAGGGAAUUUGUAAAACAAGUUUAGCCCAGUGGUUAACCGUGGUCACCUGAUUCUUAGUGAGUAUUCUUUAGAACACUUUGCAUGGUUCUAAACCCUGUUAAAUACCUUUUCUUUUGUGUGAUGAGUAAGCAGUUGUAUCCUUUAUUAAUGCUUAUUCCCUUCAGUAUAAAACCUGGGGAAUAAGCUACUUCUGGAUGUCGGUGAAGAUAUCCUCCUUUUGAAAAGUAUGAUAUAACAGCAAAGGAGAAGUAUCAGUUAUAGACUCUUAAAAAUUACCUUAGUACUUAAACAGGCUUAGAAAAUACUUCUUACACUGAACUUCUGAUGGCAUGCUCACAUGGAUUAGUGGAGGAAAUUAUUGGCGUCGCUAGCAACUAUGUACUCCCAUUGCACACAUUUUACAUGGUAACAGUGAAAGAAUGUCUCCCUGCAAAUUAUGUUUUUCCAAAAGGCAGCUUGCUUUUAUAUCUAUGCAUCUUUGAGGAUUUCAAGAUACAAUUUUAUUCUUUUGACACUGUAAAGAGGAACUGUUUAAAAAUGAACUUGGAAACUCUGCACCUGUAUACAAAUUUUUUAGCAAUAAAGCAGCACAGGCUGAGAAUGCACUAAAA